AUAACAGUCAAGUUGGUUGUAACAUCCACCUGUGCUAAUACCCCUCUUUCCAGGCUUUAUCACCCACAGAAUGUGGCUUCCCGUUUAACAGUAGUGCCUUCCAGACAGCAGCUCGUUGGGCCCAACACAGAGGUUCAACUAAAUAAACACCAAAACCCUGCUGAGGUGGUGACUAUGGAAAGAGGAGUAAAGGUGGAAAAAGUUGUGAUGAUGGCAGAAACCAAAGGGAAAAUCAAUCCCAAUAGUUUCCUGUCUGAACCUUCCCCAAUACUAACCUCUCCACACACCAGAUACCUCUUACCCACCCCACUUAGUCUGUCUCCAAAAAAUAGGGUUCCUUCAGAGCCCACUGUGAGACUCACCCCUCUGCCUUCACCCAGACACUCUACCCCAACAUCCCCAGCCACCCCCCCAUUCUUGUACCAGCCAACUAGACAUGACAUGACAAACAGA